AAGAGGGCAGACGGGAUUGGGAGGGCCUUGCAGGGGCGAAGUUAAGGAGGCAGGACUUGUUCCGAAGGCAGAGGAGAGCCCCUAAGAGAUUUCAGCCAGAACAGCACGAUCGGAUUGACCUUACCACAAAGUGUCUGUCUGGUGGUGGCAGUGUCGCGAUGGGGGAGGGGCAAAGCCCGGGGCCGAAAGACUAGUGAGCAGAAAAGGACGGUUCUCCAGGUAGAAGACGCUGGGGGCCUGCACGGAGGAAGUGAGAGCACGGCAGGAGCGACCGCAGACGACCCGAAGCACGGAAGGAAACGGGCCCUGGGACUUGAUGACUGCGGGGUGGGGCGGCGGGCUGAUGGCCAAGUCAAGCGGUGGCUAAGAUGGGAGACGCGGGAAGUGUGCAGGAAAGGUGCGGAGCUCGGUUUAGGACACAGACUGUUAAGAUUUCUGUGGCACCCUAGUUAACUAUGCCCGGACCUCGGGCCAGGGCGGGGGCUGCGAGGGGACCAGACGGCAUCCGGAGGGCGCACAGAGGGGAAGGCGCCCCAGGGCAGCUCCCCAGGGGUCCCCACCCCGCAACCGGACAACUGCUUAGAGGCCACUUUUCGUCCAACGUACGCUGCGAGACGGGGAGGGGAGCUCACUGCUCUCGUCUUCCAGGUAACCCUGUGGAUACAAGAGUGCCAUCUGUGUGUGGUUUGCUGCAGAAAAGUGAAGCAUGCCUAGCAUCUUGAAGAGAGGCACCCCCUCAAAUCUGCACCUCUGUUCUCUUUCAAACAGACACGGACACGGGCAGUAGCACAUGGGAAAGUCUCUCACUCUCUGCUUUUCCGUGUUUUCUCUUUCUCUUCUUUCUUUGUCUUCUUUCAGGCGCACGGCUUCGUAGCACCCCUAAAAUCCCCACUGGCCGUGCUCGCUGUGUCUAAUUGGUGUCGGUCCCGGAAGAGGUGCUGGGGUUCUCAAUCAUCCAGUUAUUGGCUGAAUGCUGACAAGUCAGUUCUUCAGAAGACGGACGAGAGCGGAGGAACCAAGGAUGCAUGGCAGGAAUUUGGGGAUUCGGUAGCAUAAAACUGAGAGAAAGGGCCGUAUCUUCAAGAGGCCCCCCACCUUUCUUCUUCAGUCUGUGCCUUUGGCUGAGAAGUGGUAAUCCUUAAUGAGAGUCGAGGGUAAAGGGUCUCUGCCCCUCCCGUUUUCCUUGGCCUCUUUAGGCCUGGUUCUACAGGUAGUAGCCAGUGCUGGGCCCAUCUGUGGCUCUGCCAAAGACAGGGGAAAAGGGACAGUCAGCCUCAAAUCAGUCCCUGUCACUGCUUGUUCACGGUGCCCGUAUCAGGAGGGUUAAGAAAUCAGAAAUAAAAUUAUUCUGAAGGGGA